rnacentral:rRNA from 1 species
UACGGGGGGGGCAAGCGUUGUUCGGAAUUACUGGGCGUAAAGGGCUCGUAGGUGGCCAACUAAGUCAGACGUGAAAUCCCCAGGCUCAACUUGGGAACUGCGUCUGAUACUGGAUGGCUUGAAUUCGGGAGAGGGAUGCAGAAUUCCAGGUGUAGCGGUGAAAUGCGUAGAUAUCUGGAGGAACACCGGUGGCGAAGGCGGCAUCCUGGACCGGCAUUGACGCUGAGGCGCGAAAGCUAGGGGAGCAAACGGG